AACCAUUCUCACCUGCGGCUAGACCUGCGGAAGGAUCAUUAAAAAGAGUGUGUACCCCUCUGUAAAAUGAGUGGGUUACCUCCCGUCCUUUGUUGACCUCUUAGGAGGUUAUUUUGAACUUUCUGCUUCGGUGGGGUUAAACCUACCGGAACACCCUCAAAUUCUUAUCAUUUAAAAAUUGUUCAGUCUGAUUUUUGUUAAUAAAAACAAAAAACUUUCAGCAAUGGAUCUCAGAUCGGA
rnacentral:misc_RNA from 1 species